AGAAAUAAGCACACUGCAAUUCUCCAGAAUGUUCUUAUAAAAGGGACCAGACAUGGAAAUGAACCGUAUAUGCUGGCUAUCAUAUUUCAGUUGAUACCCAUUUCCUAAAAGAUUCUUUCUUCUACUUUAGGUUACUCUUUGAUGUCCAGAUAAGUGGAAAAAAAAAAACACUUUUCCAAUGUAUUGAUCUCUCUCAGGAGCAUUAGCUUCAGAUGAUCAUCUGUCCU
rnacentral:lncRNA from 1 species